GAGUGUGAAGACCUGAGGUAUCAGGGGUAGGGGUUGCUCUGCUUGUGUAAGUCCCAUAGUGUGAAGGCCAGAGAACCAAGAGAUGGUCAAGAAGAGAGAGUAAGUGUCCAAUGUCCCAGCUCAAGAAGAGAGACAAGACCAACCCCGCCUCUUCCUUCUCCUUCUCGACCUACUCAAAGUAAAGAUGAGGAUGAAGACCCUUAAGAUGAUCCACUCCCACUUAAUGAAUAAUGGUGAAUUGCACUCUGAAGAGCUUCCUAAGCUUGUAAGAAAGUGAUUCUGAAAAGCUCAACAUUUUGGUAGAAUGGAGAGAUUUGACAUUGCUUCUGCUCCAAAAGCAAAAGACUUGGGAAGGGCACCCUGGGAGUUGAGAACAUCCACCACAGAGAGGCCUGGCGUAAAGGAGAUGGGACUCACACCCAAGAGGAUGCAUUUCCAUACACCCAUUUCUGAAAUAUGAAGAGGUGUCCAGUCUGUUUGAUUCAUAGCUGCCUGUUCCACAACUGCAGAUACACCCAGAAGCUAAAAAUCACCUGCCAUCUUGGAAAUAAUCCCUGGAGGAUCAAGUCCAAGGGGGAGAAGUGGACUGGUCACCCCAGCCGAGGUUAUCUAAGUUCCAUGGCUUACUCCAGACAGGAAGCCCCACAUCCUGCAGCCUCAUUCAUAAUCCAUAAUAGAUGGUGUUCUUGGAUCCCAAGUUGAGAAAAGAAGUUAACUAUGCACAUUUUGGCAAAGAUGCAGACCAGGGUUUGAUCUAAGCAGCUAUCACAUAAAAUAAUAAAGUACAAAUGGAAAUGGCAAAAA
rnacentral:lncRNA from 1 species